rnacentral:rRNA from 1 species
CCUACGGGGUGCAGCAGUGAGGAAUAUUGGUCAAUGGACGAGAGUCUGAACCAGCCAAGUAGCGUGAAGGAUGACUGCCCUAUGGGUUGUAAACUUCUUUUAUAUGGGAAUAAAACGUUCCACGUGUGGGAUUUUGUAUGUACCAUAUGAAUAAGGAUCGGCUAACUCCGUGCCAGCAGCCGCGGUAAUACGGAGGAUCCGAGCGUUAUCCGGAUUUAUUGGGUUUAAAGGGAGCGUAGGUGGAUUGUUAAGUCAGUUGUGAAAGUUUGCGGCUCAACCGUAAAAUUGCAGUUGAAACUGGCAGUCUUGAGUACAGUAGAGGUGGGCGGAAUUCGUGGUGUAGCGGUGAAAUGCUUAGAUAUCGCGAAGAACUCCGAUUGCGAAGGCAGUUCACUGGACUGCAACUGACACUGAGGCUCGAAAGUGUGGGUAUCAAACAGGAUUAGAUACCCCUGUAGUC